UAGAAUUUCACAGCAAAGGUAUUGCGUCAGUGACUAGCUGAGUUUUGUUUCUGUUGUAAAACUGUUUCUGUUGAUAUUUUUGAGAGACGCCUCAGAUGUUACAAUUUUAGCACGUUUACCGUUAGUGUCUUUCUGAGAUAUAUUAGGCGUACAUGGAGUUCCAGGAUCCAGCAUGUGUCCCAUGUUCAAAUAGACUUACUGAUGCUGGGAUACACGAAACACAGGGGAAAGGUGCUCUGCUAAAAUUAAGUUGAUUAUUCUUCCACGCCAACGUUUAUCAGUUAACUUUGCCGCAUAAUUAGACCGAGGAGAAUGUGUUAAAGCAGGUUUUUCACACUGGAUUUUUCUGGUUAUAAUAAUCAG